AAGCCGUGGCCCACCUUCGUGUGCUUCUCAAGAUCUGCAUUCUAGCGUGAGCCACCCCAAGGC
rnacentral:tRNA from 1 species